rnacentral:miRNA from 3 species
AGGCAGGGGCUGGGCCUGCAGC